UGGCGAUCUCCUUGUCAGCAC
rnacentral:misc_RNA from 1 species